AACGUAGGAUCCGAGCGUUGUCCGGAAUCACUGGGUGUAAAGGGUGCGUAGGCGGGCUUGCGCGUCAAGGGUUAAAGACCUCGGCUCAACCGAGGGAAUGCCCUUGAUACGGCAGGUUUUGAGUGCGGGAGAGGAUGGUGGAAUUCCUGGUGUAGGGGUGAAAUGCGUAGAGAUCAGGAGGAACACCGAAGGCGAAGGCAGCCACCUGGCCCGCCACUGACGCUGAGGCACGAAAGCGUGGGGAGCAAACAGG
rnacentral:rRNA from 1 species